CCUACGGGUGGCAGCAGUGAGGAAUAUUGGUCAAUGGACGAGAGUCUGAACCAGCCAAGUAGCGUGAAGGAUGACUGCCCUAUGGGUUGUAAACUUCUUGUAUAGGGGAAUAAAAUGUUACACGUGUGGGAUGUUGUAUGUACCAUAGGAAUAAGGAUCGGCUAACUCCGUGCCAGCCGCCGCGGUAAUACGGAGGAUCCGAGCGUUAUCCGGAUUUAUGGGGUUGAAAGGGAGCGUAGGUGGAUUGUUAAGUCAGUGGUGAAAUUUUGCGGCUCAACCGUAAAAUUGCAGUUGAAACUGGCAUUCUUUAGUCCAGUAGCGGUGGGCGGACUUCGUGGUGUCGC
rnacentral:rRNA from 1 species